rnacentral:lncRNA from 1 species
AGAGCAGUGACAAGGGCUGAAUGAUGUCUGAGGGUGGAAUAAAUGGCAUCAAUUUGUCCUCUUUUUCAUAAUACUGUUUUGCACUAAUAUCUCUAAAGAAACUUGUACAGAAGAAUAUAAUUUUGCUUUUAGAUGGCGGAGUCCUACUACAUUAGUUGAAUCUCCUGUGGAUAUGUUAUUAAGUGAUACAUAGAAAUUGCUCCAGAGCUAGAGAGAGCCAAACAAUGAAAUACUUUGCACUCUCCUUGGGUUGCAUUGUCAUUUAGAGUGAUCACUGAAGUGUGUUUAAAAGGAGUUGUUGUAGUACAUAUUGAAAAAUCAAUACAAAUGUUAGUUGUCUUGCAACAUUGUGCUUUGGGAUUGCAGUAGUUCGGAAUGGUUGAAAUCGAUGCGUUUUAAGAAAAUGGACUUGAUGUAGCAUAAAAUGUGUCUGCAGAGUUUGCUGUGACUUGGAGGGUUAGUUUGCGUUAGCUCUAUUGGGAAGCUGAGCUCUAUUUUAAUUUUCAUCAGUGCAGCAACCAGAACAAAACCACAAGCGAGUGGGAAAAGAAAAGGAGAAAUGAAUCUAUUUGCUCUCAUAUAUCAGUCACGAGAUACAUUAUUUACUAACCUGUAAUCAUCAGUGUCUGAAACAGAACUAAAAUGGAGUGGUUUUCACAGACAGUGCUGGGGAAAUAUCUUGGCUGGCUGAAAAUUUGUUAGCCUGAAUGGGACUAGAAAGAAGAAAACCCAUGCUAAUUCUUUAAACUGAAUUUUCAUGCUUUGCUCAUAGAAUGCAAAGGUGUUCCUUUACCUUCAGACUGGAAAUUUAAUGUGGAAUCCAAGAAAGAAGAUGCCCACAGAAGUCCCAGUCCUAGGUGCCAGUUUGCAUUUAUCUCAAGGAGACGAGACACCCUUUAAAGAAAAUCUGCAGCUCAGCCAGGACAUUCAGGUGCAAACACACCAGCCAGACUGUGGAGCAAGUGGACAGCCAGAAUAAAGACAGAUGGAGGGAGGUGAGCUUUGACCUUUCUCUAUGCAGCAUUGCAAGCUUCUCUCCAAACAGACUUUAACUCCCUAACACCUGAUUUCUAUAGGUUUUCAUAUAUUUUCAAAUCAUCAACUUGAUGCACCUGGUCCAGUUUUACUUAUGUUUGGUGAGUAUAAUAGUUUAUAUUUGAUGAGUGUAUUGGAACAUGAUUUCUGCUGUGUACUUCUGUGUUUUUCCAGAAUACCUCAAAGGGAUUUAAACAGGAGCCAGACACCUCUCAGCCACAGCAGCUCCUCCAACCUUCUUAGCAGCUGUUAGAUCUAUGUGACAAGUGAGAGCUUCUAAUAAAAAAGUCAUUUUAUUGCGUAUGUCUGAUUUG